GCCGGGCGCGGUGGCGCGCGCCUGUAGUCCUAGCUACUCGGGAGGCUGAGGCAGGAGGAUCGCUUGAGUCCAGGAGUUCUGGGCUGCAGUGCGCUAUGCCGAUCAGGUGUCCGCACUAAGUUCAGCAUCAAUAUGGUGACCUCCCGGGAGCGGGGGACCACCAGGUUGCCUAAGGAGGGGUGAACCGGCCCAGGUCGGAAAAAUUUUUAUUAGCAUGCAUUAAUAAUACAAGGGGGUUUCAUUGGGAUAAUUCCAUAGAUAUGCAUAGUGUACUUUGACCAAGUUCACCCCCUCUAAAAUAUUCCCUUAGCUCU
rnacentral:SRP_RNA from 1 species